GGCCAGACUCCUACGGGAGGCAGCAGUGGGGAAUAUUGCACAAUGGGGGAAACCCUGAUGCAGCGACGCCGCGUGAGUGAAGAAGUAUUUCGGUAUGUAAAGCUCUAUCAGCAGGGAAGAAAAUGACGGUACCUGACUAAGAGGCCCCGGCUAACUACGUGCCAGCAGCCGCGGUAAUACGUAGGGGGCAAGCGUUAUCCGGAUUUACUGGGUGUAAAGGGAGCGUAGACGGCAUGGCAAGUCAGAUGUGAAAGCCCGGGGCUCAACCCCGGGACUGCAUUUGAAACUGUCAGGCUGGAGUGCAGGAGAGGUAAGUGGAAUUCCUAGUGUAGCGGUGAAAUGCGUAGAUAUUAGGAGGAACACCAGUGGCGAAGGCGGCUUACUGGACUGUAACUGACGUUGAGGCUCGAAAGCGUGGGGAGCAAACAGGAUUAGAUACCCUCGUAGA
rnacentral:rRNA from 1 species